UUUCCGCCCGACAUCGGAUCCUCCGGGAACCCCACCGAGCGGGCGAUUCUUAUACACGUUAUACAUACGCCGCGGUCUAUUAUCUUACCGUUAGCCGGAAGAAACCAAUUAUAUUAUUGCCGGAGAAAAAUAUUCUCUUUGGCGUUUCCGAGCCGUUUCCGCCGCUGUUUUACGUAGCAUUCGACGGUUCUGCGCGUGUCGUGCGCAAUCCGUAGUACUUAUAGGUCGCAGUGAUCAAUUAUUAUUAGGUAUAAUGUUAUAUAAUAUUUCCUUUGUAGCAGUAACACAUAAGCUUAUGUCGUGUAUUUUACUUUUUAGUUUAUAAUAUAGUCAAGACGACUUUGUUUAACGAGUUCGUUGCGCGAGUUUUAAUCGUAUGGAUUAAAAUAAUUAAAUUAUUUAAAUUGUUCAUACAAUAAGCCAACUGUGAGAGUCGCAAAAGGAUUUAUUUUCGGUCCACUACCUGAAGCAAUAUGGCACUUCAUCGGUAUGCGUACACUCAAAAUGCUGUAAUAGAAAGAAUGUUGGUCCUACCAAAAUCGAUUAGACGGUCUCUCUCAAUCCACUGUUGAAUUUAUUAUCGAAGAAGACUUACCGCCAUAUAUAUAAAAUAUAAUCGUUGCAGCAACUACCUGCCAGGCUAAAAUCAUCCACCGGCAGCAAGAAGUUUUAAGUCGCAUUAAAACACUAAUGGGUUAAUCAAAGGGACAGCAGAUGCUCGACGGUAGUUUUUUUCAUCUUCGGAGCCAGAACCCCACGUGCUGUCUGGCCAAACGCACUGUGUCUAAUCGCAAAUGCAGGGUUGAACACAAAAAAAAAAUGUUAGUAAUAAACCGCCAUAACAACUCGCUUCCUUCGUUAAAACGGUCCUAAACCGAAAUUAAGUGCUCUAAAAACCAUUUAUUAGCAAAAUGUGUUUCCCGUUACCAAUCACGUUUUGUCGAGAAUUCACCAUUACCUAUAUUUUUCUAUAGAGCACUCAAAACAUUUGAAUUCUAAUAAAAUUUCUAUUACUAUAAAAUCUAUUUUUGUACUCAUGUGAGUGCAAUUUUAGUUUGUUUUUAUUUAAAAUUUUACAAUAAAUUACAUAUAAUGAAGUUUUUUAACAGACUUAUCACUAAUACUAAAUACACAUAAUAUAGCUUUAAAUUCACAAAUAACCAACUAUGCGCUAAAACAAAAAAAAUUUUUAUAUUAUUAUUAGCCUUUCUCUUUAUAUUAAAUAUAUAUUAUAUAUUAUAUAAUAUAUAUGUGUAUAUGUGUGUUAUUAAGUGCAUAGGGUUUGAUUUUUUUGACAUUGUCAAAAUAAGAGUACUGAUGAAGUGAUGAGUUCAACCAAUAUUAUUAUUAGUUUUAAUUUUUAUCAAUCGACAUAAUAUAGUUAACUACAAAUCUAAUUAAUUAUACAUUAAAUAAUUAUUUUAUAAAAACAGUUAUUUCGAAUGUGUACAUUUUUUUUUCAUUUUUUUUUUAACCCUUAACAAUUUUGAAAAACACUUAAAAUUAUGCAUUCUUUUAGGUCUUUGACUGUGAUUACUGCAUGUGCACCGAGUAUUAAUUCAAGGAACGUACACCAUUAUUGUCCCAUACUACAUCCGGUAAUAAUAAACAAAAAUACUAUACCUACUUGAUUAAAAUAAAAGAAGUUUUAUACAAAUCAUGAUCUCACAAUUAACGUCAGACUUAAAUCAUAUAAGUGGAUUUAUCGUUUAGAAUUUGGGAACGUAGUGUAUGAUAAUAUGUAUACAAGUAUCGUUAAAAAUUAAAAUAGAACAGUUGUUUAUCUGCGUAUAUACCAGUAACAAAAAGGAAAUGACGGUAUGAGGGGUGAAUUGAAAUUGAAACGUUUUCCAUAAAUUACAAACAAUAAAAACAGCUAAUAAGUUAUUUGAAACGACAGAUCUAUGGGUGAUGUAGUGUUGGGGAAAAGUGGUUGUAUCCUUCCUCCUCAAACUACAAAACAUUAUUGGUCCUUUUGUCUUAAGUAAUUAAUAUUAUUUUUUUAUUUUAUAGAAUAUGAGAUACAAAUGUUAAGUAGUAUAUGAGUUUAAUUAUAAUCAAUGAUGUCACUGCAGUUAUACACUUAUACUUGAAUUAUAAUUGUGA